CAUUGUGAGGAGCUGGCACAGACCACCAGUCCUCCCUGCAGACCACAGUGCAGUCAUUGAAUGGGCACAGCGGUGCCUGGAGUUUUACUUGUGAUAGCUUGAUGAUAAGGUGUGGGCUUCUACUAAUCACUGUGGUCUGAUUAUCUCAGGGGGGUCUUGAGAUAUGAUAGGUGUUUGGGGGGAGGUUGAUUUGAUAUUUCUGUCUAACAUUCUGGGAGUUUAACUUGAGACCCUUAGCUCUGAUGUGUCCUUAAGCCACAGCCCGAUUUAACCGCCUGUAUGCGUACUCAACUCCCGACCCUGAGCACCCGACAGAAGGACACAAACGGAACCCAGCAGCCUCUUGAAGAACCACUUGCUAUUCUACCUGGAUUCUUCUCUGCCUUUUCCUUUCCUCCUAUACUUUCUCAUAUUUGCCCUUCUUUUUUAUACCUUCUCUAUUUUCCCCCUCAAAUACAAGGGAAGAAAUUUCACCA